GACGAACCGUGCGAACGUUGUUCGGAAUCAUUGGGCUUAAAGGGCGCGUAGGCGGUCAGCACAAGUCAGUUGUGAAAUCUCCGGGCUUAACCCGGAAAGGUCAACUGAUACUGUGCGACUAGAGUGCGGAAGGGGCAACUGGAAUUCUCGGUGUAGCGGUGAAAUGCGUAGAUAUCGAGAGGAACACCUGCGGCGAAGGCGGGUUGCUGGGCCGACACUGACGCUGAUGCGCGAAAGCCAGGGGAGCGAACGGG
rnacentral:rRNA from 1 species